rnacentral:rRNA from 1 species
UACAGAGACUGCAAGCGUUAUUCGGAUUCACUGGGCGUAAAGGGUGCGCAGGUGGUUGAGUGUGUCAGAUGUGAAAUCCCGGAGCUUAACUCCGGAGCUGCGUCUGAAACUGCUCAGCUAGAGCAUUGGAGAGGGAAGUGGAAUUCACGGUGUAGCAGUGAAAUGCGUAGAUAUCGUGAGGAACACCAGAGGCGAAGGCGACUUCCUGGACAAUAGCUGACACUCAAGCACGAAAGCGUGGGGAGCAAAAGGG